CUAGAAGCAUGGCCAGACGCGAGUCAAGCGUAUCCACUUCAGUAUUUGAGUAAACAAGGUGCUUUGGCUGAUCGACUCUCAAAGACUGCAACUGGUGCCUUCACAUGGCCUACUAUCGGAAGUUCUGGAGUCUCGUCAAACGCAGAAGCAGGCAUUGGCAAUCUUUCGACCCAAUGAGGCCGUCACCGGACUCCAUAGAUGCUCCUCGGAUCAACUAAGGAUGUACUUCAUACCAGA